rnacentral:rRNA from 2 species
AAAUUGAAGAGUUUGAUCAUGGCUCAGAUUGAACGCUGGCGGCAGGCCUAACACAUGCAAGUCGAGCGGUAGCACAGAGAGCUUGCUCUCGGGUGACGAGCGGCGGACGGGUGAGUAAUGUCUGGGAAACUGCCUGAUGGAGGGGGAUAACUACUGGAAACGGUAGCUAAUACCGCAUAACGUCGCAAGACCAAAGUGGGGGACCUUCGGGCCUCAUGCCAUCAGAUGUGCCCAGAUGGGAUUAGCUAGUAGGUGGGGUAACGGCUCACCUAGGCGACGAUCCCUAGCUGGUCUGAGAGGAUGACCAGCCACACUGGAACUGAGACACGGUCCAGACUCCUACGGGAGGCAGCAGUGGGGAAUAUUGCACAAUGGGCGCAAGCCUGAUGCAGCCAUGCCGCGUGUGUGAAGAAGGCCUUCGGGUUGUAAAGCACUUUCAGCGGGGAGGAAGGCGUUAAGGUUAAUAACCUUGGCGAUUGACGUUACCCGCAGAAGAAGCACCGGCUAACUCCGUGCCAGCAGCCGCGGUAAUACGGAGGGUGCAAGCGUUAAUCGGAAUUACUGGGCGUAAAGCGCACGCAGGCGGUCUGUCAAGUCGGAUGUGAAAUCCCCGGGCUCAACCUGGGAACUGCAUUCGAAACUGGCAGGCUAGAGUCUUGUAGAGGGGGGUAGAAUUCCAGGUGUAGCGGUGAAAUGCGUAGAGAUCUGGAGGAAUACCGGUGGCGAAGGCGGCCCCCUGGACAAAGACUGACGCUCAGGUGCGAAAGCGUGGGGAGCAAACAGGAUUAGAUACCCUGGUAGUCCACGCCGUAAACGAUGUCGAUUUGGAGGUUGUGCCCUUGAGGCGUGGCUUCCGGAGCUAACGCGUUAAAUCGACCGCCUGGGGAGUACGGCCGCAAGGUUAAAACUCAAAUGAAUUGACGGGGGCCCGCACAAGCGGUGGAGCAUGUGGUUUAAUUCGAUGCAACGCGAAGAACCUUACCUGGUCUUGACAUCCACAGAACUUAGCAGAGAUGCUUUGGUGCCUUCGGGAACUGUGAGACAGGUGCUGCAUGGCUGUCGUCAGCUCGUGUUGUGAAAUGUUGGGUUAAGUCCCGCAACGAGCGCAACCCUUAUCCUUUGUUGCCAGCGGUUAGGCCGGGAACUCAAAGGAGACUGCCAGUGAUAAACUGGAGGAAGGUGGGGAUGACGUCAAGUCAUCAUGGCCCUUACGACCAGGGCUACACACGUGCUACAAUGGCAUAUACAAAGAGAAGCGACCUCGCGAGAGCAAGCGGACCUCAUAAAGUAUGUCGUAGUCCGGAUUGGAGUCUGCAACUCGACUCCAUGAAGUCGGAAUCGCUAGUAAUCGUAGAUCAGAAUGCUACGGUGAAUACGUUCCCGGGCCUUGUACACACCGCCCGUCACACCAUGGGAGUGGGUUGCAAAAGAAGUAGGUAGCUUAACCUUCGGGAGGGCGCUUACCACUUUGUGAUUCAUGACUGGGGUGAAGUCGUAACAAGGUAACCGUAGGGGAACCUGCGGUUGGAUCACCUCCUUACCUUAAAGAA